rnacentral:rRNA from 1 species
ACGGGAGACACACGGCGGGUGCUAACGUCCGUCGUGAAGAGGGAAACAACCCAGACCGCCAGCUAAGGUCCCAAAGUCAUGGUUAAGUGGGAAACGAUGUGGGAAGGCCCAGACAGCCAGGAUGUUGGCUUAGAAGCAGCCAUCAUUUAAAGAAAGCGUAAUAGCUCACUGGUCGAGUCGGCCUGCGCGGAAGAUGUAACGGGGCUAAACCAUGCACCGAAGCUGCGGCAGCGACGCUUAUGCGUUGUUGGGUAGGGGAGCGUUCUGUAAGCCUGUGAAGGUGUACUGUGAGGUAUGCUGGAGGUAUCAGAAGUGCGAAUGCUGACAUAAGUAACGAUAAAGCGGGUGAAAAGCCCGCUCGCCGGAAGACCAAGGGUUCCUGUCCAACGUUAAUCGGGGCAGGGUGAGUCGACCCCUAAGGCGAGGCCGAAAGGCGUAGUCGAUGGGAAACAGGUUAAUAUUCCUGUACUUGGUGUUACUGCGAAGGGGGGACGGAGAAGGCUAUGUUGGCCGGGCGACGGUUGUCCCGGUUUAAGCGUGUAGGCUGGUUUUCCAGGCAAAUCCGGAAAAUCAAGGCUGAGGCGUGAUGACGAGGCACUACGGUGCUGAAGCAACAAAUGCCCUGCUUCCAGGAAAAGCCUCUAAGCAUCAGGUAACAUCAAAUCGUACCCCAAACCGACACAGGUGGUCAGGUAGAGAAUACCAAGGCGCUUGAGAGAACUCGGGUGAAGGAACUAGGCAAAAUGGUGCCGUAACUUCGGGAGAAGG